GGGACUGAGGUGAGGUAAUUAUUUACUAUAAUUAUAAGAAGGAGGCCGGCGCGGUGGCUCAAGCUUAUAAUCCCAGCACUUUGGGAGGCUGAGGCGGGUGGAUCACCUGAGGUCAGGAGUUUGAGAUCAGCCUGGCCAACAUGGUGAAACCCCAUCUCUACUAAAAAUACAAAAAACUUAGCUGGGUGUGGUAGCACGCACCUGUAACCCCAGCUACUUGGGAGGCUGAGGCAGGAGAAUUGCUUGCACCUGGGAGGCAGAGGCUGCAGUGAGCCGAGAUCGUGCCACUGCACUCCAGCCUGGGUGACAGAGGGAGACUCUGUCUCAAAAAAAAGGGAGGAAAGUACAAGACUAAAUUCAAUGUUAUGGACUAUUUAAAAUGGAAAUAAGGCCAGGAGUUCGAGACCAGCCUGGCCAACUUGGUGAAAUCCCGUCUCUACUAAAAAUACAAAAGUUAAAAGGCCAGAUGCGGUGGCUCACGCCUGUAAUCCCAGCACUUUGGGAGGCCGAGGUGGGCGGAUCAUGAGGUCAGGAGUUUGAGACCAGCCAGGCCAAUAUGGUGAAACCCCAUCUCUACUAAAAAUACAAAAAUUAGCCAGGUGUGGUGGUGUGUACCUGUAGUCCCAGCUACUCAGGAGGCAGAGGCAGAAGAAACACCUGAACCUGGGAGGUGGAGGUUGCAGUGAGCCAAGAUUCUGCCACUGCACUCCAGCCUGAGCAGCAGAACGAGACUCUGUCUCAAAAUAAAAUAAAAUAAAAUAAAAUAUAAAAUAAAAUAAAAUAAAAUAUAAAAAAUAAAAUAAAAUAAAAUAAAAUACAAAAAUACAAAAGUUACCCAGGCAUGGUGGCGGGUGCCUGUAAUCCCAGCUACUUGGGAGGCUGAGGCAGGAGAAUUGCUUGAACCUGGGAGGUGGAAGUUGCAGUGAGCAGAGAUUGUGCCACUAUACUCCAUCCUGGGCAACAGAGCAAGACUCCGCCUCAAAAAAUAAAUAAAUAAAUAAACAAAAUAAAAAGGAAAUAGAAGUGAUAGCAGGGGCCGGGCAAGGUGGCUCACGUUUAUAAUCCCAAUACUUUAGGAGACUGAGGCAGAAUAAUCAUUUGAACCUGGGAGGCGGAGGUUGCAGUGAGCCAAAGUCAUGCCACUGCACUCCAGUCUGGGCGACAGAGUGAGGCCUCAUCUCAAAAAAAGAAAAAAACCAAGUUGCUCAGGUCCCAACCCUUGCCACACUGUGCCUAUCAACUGCUGUGGGUCCUUUAAAAAGAGGCCAUACUUACCUCACUUUAUAAACUAAAAACUAAGGCCCAAAAAGGCUAGUCAACAGCCUAAGGUCAAACAACUCAUAUUACAA
rnacentral:lncRNA from 1 species